UGGGCCGGCCGGGUUGCGGGGAGUGCUUCCAGAGCCCCGUCUGGCCCGCGGGCGAAGCUUGGCUAAGCAGGGCCACCGGCUGAAGGAACAGAGAGACAGAGUGAUGAGGAUGGUUGGCUUUCAGUGCUUGGGAAGAGACCGUUUAUUUGCGUUUUGGUUUUGUCCCCAGGUCAAGGCUGGGAUUCCUGGAACCUAGGAUGAGGAGUGGGGAGGCUGUAUAGUACUUAGACUUGUAGGGCCAAAUCAGCAACUCCCUCCUUACACCUUAGCCAUUUCUAACUCAGAGCCUAAGUUACCUGAAGAGGGCCUCAGGACCCCGGCCAGCUGAAUUUAGUAAGAUAAUACCAAACCAGCCCAGGCCCUAGUCCGAAGCAAGGCAUUUCUCCACUUCUCUGUGUUCUGCCAGUAAUUUCAGAGAGUAAGAGUAGGAAAGAUGUGGUGGGGGAAUUGGAAGGCCCCCAGCCCCCUAUUGCUGCUGAUUUUCCAAAGCUUUUGCAGGGAAAUGCGGAUGGUUAGUCUAGAGAAGUGAGAUGGUCAGUGACCAGAGGGGAGGAGCCCACGUUCUGGAUCAGUGCUUUUCAAGGAAGAGAAGGUUAAAAAAUAAGCCCAGGCAGUCAGGAAAUCCAGGAAGGCACCAGGUGGGUGGAGUGGGGUAGUCUCCCUGCAGGAAAACAGGUCAAUUUGAGAAAGAAUGCUGGCAGGAGUGAGGGGAAGAGAGGAUCCCAGCCUUUUCAAGUCACCACCAAGGUUCUGCAGUUCCUCAGAGAGCGGAACACACAACCAGAAAAGAAGUUUGGAGAUCUCUGGUUUGAAAAACUGACUCCUGGAGAGCAAGAAUUUGUCAGUGACUCUCCAGCGUGAUCCAUACAGAGGGUGCCCGGCCAGAGUCUGAGUUACCCAUGGUCAACUGCCUUCGGGAAGCAGAUGAUCUUCCUGACUGAUCCUGGGAAGGUCCAUAUUGCCCAGCACUACAUCAUAUGCCUGCGUCAGCCCUCAAAGUCGUCUUAUUAUGUCAGCGAGGUAUCGUCUCACAUCACCACGAGAAGUUUUUAAUGAGGAUCUGUCGUGUACUUCAGAUGCAUUUCACCAAGUUGGGAAAGAGAGUAAGAGCAGAGCUCUCCAUAUCCAAAGUCUGUAACAGAGACACUUCUUCCCAAGACCAUGAGCUGAAGUGUGGAAGGGGUCUCAAACUGAACUGAGCAGGGAUCAAAAGAUACAUGGGUGCCGUGAACCUAAAUUCCUUGAGUCCUCUGAGAGCAAGGCCAUGGCUCAGAAAAGCUCCACAGUCAAUGGCAAAAACCCACCCUAUGGUGACCUGGCCUGCAGGGUGACAAGCUGCAGAGUCACUAUGACCAUCAGAGAAAAGAGAUUUACCAAGAAAAGUGAUGAAGCCAGGGAGAUGCCUUCCACUCUGGAUUUGGAGCUAUCAUGCUGGGCCCUGCAGAACCCCCCGCACUGUCUCCUUCACCCAUAGAAGACUACAGAAUCUAAGUGGGCUUAUAGAGCACUCCAGCAAAGUUGGGAUGUCUCUGAAGACUGUCUUGGAACAUUUUUGUUCUUUCUUUCCUCUCAAUCACUGCUGAGUGGUGUUUUUCUUCACUUAUGCACUUAGAGAAAUCUUUGGUUUUUCAAGUCAAGUCUCUGAAGUAUGUCCACAUUUGAUCUUUAAUUUGUGUCAUUCUAUAGAACGCUGUCAGUUGUAUUUGAAUUUAAAAAAAAUUGCUGCCAACCUAAUAUAAUGGAUAGGAUACUGGAUCAGAAGAUGGGCGCCUGGGUGGCUCAGUGGGUUAAGCCACUGCCUUUGGCUCAGGUCAUGAUCUCAGGGUCC
ensembl:lincRNA